rnacentral:rRNA from 1 species
GUCUGUAUGGUUGUUAUGUAGAGUCUGGCCUGCCCACUGAUAUAAAUUAAAGGGCCGCGGUAUUCUGACCGUGCGAAGGUAGCAUAAUCAUUAGUCUUUUAAUUGAAGGCUUGUAUGAAUGGUUGGACAAAAAGUGAGCUGUCUCAGCUGUAAAAUUUGAAAUUAACUUUUAAGUGAAAAGGCUUAAAUAAUCUAAGGGGACGAUAAGACCCUAUAAAGCUUUACAGUGAAAAGAGUGUGUCACAAUUUGUUAGUUUAACUUGGUUAACUCUAAAGCUGUUUCGUUGGGGCGACGAGAAUAUAAUUAAAUAACUGUUCUUUUGUAAAGUUAACAAUAUUAGUUGGAGAAAAAAUGAUCCUUUAUUAAAGAUUAAAAGAUUAAGUUACUUUAGGGAUAACAGCGUAAUCUUCUUUGAGAGUCCAGAUCGACAAGAAGGGUUGCGACCUCGAUGUUGAAUUAAGAGUUCCUUGCGGUGCAGCAGUUGCAAAGGAAGGUCUGUUCGACCUUUAAAUUCUU